rnacentral:rRNA from 1 species
GACGAACGCUGGCGGCGUGCUUAACACAUGCAAGUCGAACGGAAAGGCCCUGCUUUUGUGGGGUGCUCGAGUGGCGAACGGGUGAGUAACACGUGAGUAACCUGCCCUUGACUUUGGGAUAACUUCCGGAAACUGGGGCUAAUACCGGGUAGGAUCUCCUGCUGCAUGGUGGGGGUUGGAAAGUUUCGGCGGUUGGGGAUGGACUCGCGGCUUAUCAGCUUGUUGGUGGGGUAGUGGCUUACCAAGGCUUUGACGGGUAGCCGGCCUGAGAGGGUGACCGGCCACAUGGGGACUAAGAUACGGCCCAGACUCCUACGGGAGGCAGCAGGGGGGAAUAUUGCACAAUGGGCGGAAGCCUGAUGCAGCAACGCCGCGUGCGGGAUGACGGCCUUCGGGUUGUAAACCGCUUUCGCCUGUGACGAAGCGUGAGUGACGGUAAUGGGUAAAGAAGCACCGGCUAACUACGUG